rnacentral:rRNA from 1 species
GACGGAAGGUGCAAGCGUUGCUCGGAAUCACUGGGCGUAAAGGGUGCGUAGGCGGCUUGGUAAGUUGGGUGUGAAAGCCCCGGGCUCAGCCCGGGAAGGGCACUCGAAACUGCUGAGCUGGAGUGCCGGGAGGGGAGAGUGGAAUUCCUGGUGUAGCGGUGAAAUGCGUACGAUAUCAGGAGGAAUACCGGUGGCGAAAGCGACUCUCUGGGCCUUUCCUGACGCUGAGACGCGAAAGCGUGGGGAGCGAACCGG